rnacentral:tRNA from 1 species
GCCGCGAUAGCUCAGUUGGUAGAGCGACGCCAUGGUAAGGCGUAGGUCUCGGGUUCAAAUCCCGAUCGUGGCUCCA